rnacentral:rRNA from 1 species
AGCGAACGCUGGCGGCAGGCUUAACACAUGCAAGUCGAGCGGGCACUUCGGUGUCAGCGGCAGACGGGUGAGUAACACGUGGGAACGUACCCUUUGGUUCGGAAUAACGCUGGGAAACUAGCGCUAAUACCGGAUACGCCCUUUUGGGGAAAGGCUUGCUGCCGAAGGAUCGGCCCGCGUCUGAUUAGCUAGUUGGUGGGGUAAUGGCCUACCAAGGCGACGAUCAGUAGCUGGUCUGAGAGGACGAUCAGCCACACUGGGACUGAGACACGGCCCAGACUCCUACGGGAGGCAGCAGUGGGGAAUAUUGGACAAUGGGCGCAAGCCUGAUCCAGCCAUGCCGCGUGAGUGAUGAAGGCCUUAGGGUUGUAAAGCUCUUUUGUCCGGGACGAUAAUGACGGUACCGGAAGAAUAAGCCCCGGCUAACUUCGUG